UUGUGAGUCCUUCAGCGCUAGCCCCCGUGGAAAUGUGACUUUGACAAUGUUGAGUAUUUUAUGUGUUUGAUGAAAUACAGAGAUCCCUUGGAUGCAGGAGGGAGUUAGGCCAGGCAGGCAGCGUGGUGUCAACCCCAGUCUGCCUGACCCUCUCCUCACCCCUCGUUCCUGUUUUCUUCUGACUUCUCCGCUCCUUGCAGAUCUCGGUUCUGAUUCAUACCAUCUUUGCUUUAAAGCUCCAUGGUAGAGACAGAGGCUUGAUUGCUAUGCAAAGCUGUAAGCCCUGGUUCCUUGCUGACCGGACUUGGUGCCUGACUGGGCUUGUCUGCUCUCAAGUCGGGGCACCCUUAGCAGAAGGGCAAACUCAUGACUUCAAAGUUUGUUUCCAUGCCUGUUAUGCAUAGUCAUCUGUAAUCAGCUUCUUUUCAAACCGCUUUUUAGAAGACCAGAAGCGUCUGGAAGGAGGGAAUGGUUGAUGAUCCAGGUAAUCCAUGAGCUAGCCUAACAGCCCUGCCAUUUCUAGCAGGAUUUGGCAAAGAAACUGUGUAACAGCAGUGGCGUUAGGGAUAGGUAACCCAGUUUUUGGUGUAUUAUCUGACACAACACGGCUGACAGAUGACACACUUGGUGAUGGGGAAGCUGCUGGCUGACUUUGUGGUCCUGCUCAAGAGGCGAGGCAGCUGGGCCUUGUUUCUGAGCUCUGUGUCCUCAGCUCCUCUCAGGUGACUGCUGACAUUCAGGUACGUCUUAGCCUGAUGGCUCUUCAUACUGCUUCUCCUGCCCCACAGGAGAACUGUUUGCCCCAGACCUUGCUGCUCAACCUCCUGCUCUAGCGGGAGUUUCAUGGGGCUGCUUGCUGGCCAGAGAGCUCAGCGGUUGUUAAGUAACUAAUGAGUGGGAGGUAUGAUAUGUGUAUUAUUCAGUUUAUUACUCUGAUGAGUAGCUGGGUUUAGGCCAAGCCGCCUCCUCAUGUGACCUUUGGGAAGGAGGAGGGAGAGGUUUCCUGCUCGCCACUGUUCUGAACGUGCUUUUUGCUGCUGUUUUGGGUGUUGGCUUUCCUAAACUGUGUGUGAGCAAGCCAGUGUGACAGAAAUGAAGGUGUUUUUGAAAGAAACAAGUUACUGAUGCUGCAUGAAGCUGUUUUCCACACCUAGCACUUUGUCCUUGGGAUUUGGGAAGAAUGGUAGUGUAGGUCUGAGGUAUGAAUCAGUGCUUACUUGGCCUCUCUCAGGAUGAUUCAAAAGUCCUAAUAGCCUGCCAUGGAAUUAAAAUCCUUCUGAAAAUAAACAAAAGAUGCAGUUAAUUUUAGCUACAAGUGACUUAGAAGUUUCUUUGUAAAGCAGUCUCAACUAUCCCAUGCACAUCUGGCUGAUUCCAGUUAGCUGAGACCAGCAUCAAAGGGAGAGAAUGGGUUCAGGUUAGAGUCUGCACAGACUGAGAGAAGUAUUUUUUUGCUAACUUUGUGACCUGCUCUUACCCUGGAGAUGCUGAUGUUUCAAACAUCCUGAUUAGUGGACAGACUCUUAGUCCUUUUUCAGUGCUGUGGAAAUCCCAGGCCCAGCGGAACUGUGUUACUAAUUAAAAAGUACGCGUAUGACUAACAUUUUCCCAGCAUGUAGUAAACCCAGUGAUCUCACAAACUCCUCUUCCUUGGAAUUAACAAUGAGCUGAGAAUAAUGAUCCUUCCACCUCAUUGUUCAUUCAGCUCCUUCUGACCAAUCAUCCCUGUGUCGGGAAAGCGCUUGUGCUGCGUUUGAAACUGCUGCCCUCACACUGCCAGCCUUUUCAGCUUGAAAAAGCAUCAUCUGAAAGAAGACUGUGAUCCUGGGGGGGAUGGACUGUAAUUACUGAAAUACCAUAGUAGAUUAACAGGAAAAAAAAAUGGGCAGUUUGCCUCUGUGCAGCACAGAGGUUUAUAACUUCACAGUGCACAGGCAUUCCAGCACCUUCUUAUUUCUCCCAUAAGGAAAGCUACUGCCUGGGGUGGUGGCUGCUAGCUGCUUUCCUAUGGGAUGUAUUGCAAUCUUGGGAUGCCCCUUUGCCAUGACAUCCCCAGGAGCUCUUUGUUUCCCUACCAUCACUCUGCUGUGGGGCAUCCCCUAUCCCCAAGCAGCAGGGCUGGAGGUGCUCACCCACUCUCCCCUCUGUGCCUCACCUUGGUUUUGGGCAUGUGGGAAGAAGCUGGGAGCCAGGACGCUGGCAUACAUGAGGAUCUCUGUGGGUUUGAGGGAAGCUGCCCUGAAACAAGUUCAUCUGAGGUGACAGCAGUGCAUAGGAUGGAUAUUUAAAAUAGGCAGCAUUGCCAUACAUAGCUGAGAUAGCUUUCCAAACCACUCAGCUCUGAUUUCUCAAGAGUUUCAGUGUGUAAAGUGGCUCAGAAAGUGGAGCUUUGCCACUUUAACCUAGUAUCUGUCUCACUGAGAAAUGAGUAGCAAUAAGUUUGAGCAGCAGAUGGUGAAGUCUUCCACACAGCUAAGGAGGAGAGAGAGAAUGAUAUUGACACUUCUGGCAUCUCGUUGAAUAAGCACGCAUGUCACUUCAUCUCAGAUAUGAAUAUACACUGCAGUGUGGGUGAUUAAAUAGAGUACUUCGUAUUUAGAAGUAGGCAUCUGCCUAAGAGGUUUCUGCCUGUUGAAUCAAAUUUUCCAAGACUUCUACCCAUGUCAGCCAGCCUUUGACUGGAAUUGCUCAGUGACUCCCUGAAUCUACUUUGACACUUAAUAACUUUCGGAAUAAUUCUUUAUGUUCUGAAGACCUGCUGCACAGCUUCUUGGGGCAUAGCCAUUUUAAUUUCCUUUUAUAAUGCUAGUGAUGUUGAAGGGAGCUGCUGUGUGAAUAGCUCCCCUUAUAGCCACUGCAGACACUUUUGUUGCCAUGUUUGCCUGCGUCUGAGGAAGAGGAGGAUAGUUCAUUUUCACUUGGCGCAUGAGGGAGAAUGCUUCCAUUCAAACCAUUAGUCUGCCUUCUGACAGAAAUGGGCACACUGUCCAUUUAUGAUGUUCAUGUGACCACCAGCAUUUUGGUGGUAGCUUCUGAACCAGCCACCAGCUAGCAACAUGAUUUCCAGAGGGCUCUAGAAAGGCCAGGCUCUGCAAGGGCUGGCAGGGCUGCUGGGUCCCUCUGACCUGCUGGCAGGUACUGAAGGCCUUAGUGGGCAGGAAUGGUUCAUGUGCCUCUACUGAGAGCAUAAGGCAAAUAGGAGGUAGGUAGAAUGAGCACCAUGAAGAGCUUGGGGUUUGUAUAGCACUGAUUGAUGCUUUUGCAGAGCCCACAUCAGUGGAACUCCUGGUGCUGAUUUACUUCCUGGCACGCUGGUACUUAGAGGCAGGAGGAGUGGAACAGGGGUUGCCCAUUAGCACCAUUGAUUGCAGCUGGUGCUGCAUUUCUCCCUGCUGCCCAUCCAGAGGUGAUCUGCAAAUUCUGCUCUUUGCUACGUGCUCCAAGGGUGGAAGAUUCAGCUUCCUUCACAGGGACUGCUUUGGGGAUGAGGGUGUCAUAGGCCAAGAUGAAGAGAAUCUUCUAUGUGUGAGUAUCAUUUUUCCUUCCCCUUCAAGGUGCAAAUGGAUCUCCUUUGGGAGGAGCAUGUCCUCAGACUGGUUUAGUGACUUUCAUUGUGUCGGAGGAAGCACGCUUUUUGGGGAGAGGUUGUACAGAGAACUUUCUUCCUACUCUCUCCUCCUGUUCCCUGUCUCAGGGAGGUCGGGCUGGGAUCCACUUUUCCUCCCCCUUUCAGCAAUUGCAAAAUGAUGUGUUUGAUUCCUGCACCAAGAAAACAACCUUCAAAUAGGGGCUGAAAUUCUAUCUUGGGGGGUGAUGGGCUUGAGCUGGGAGGAGAGGGGCCGAGUGAGAAGGGCCAUUCCAGAGGGCUUUAGCUCUGCUCCUUUUAGCUUUGAGUUGUUUUGUUAUGGAACCUCAUUCUGGCAUUGCUAAGGGGUGGUGAAGGAGCUUCCUGUGCUCCUGCUCUGUGCACUGGGCAGCUGUGGUCUGGGGUGGGGAAUAUCUGCCUGGCUUUAGAGGUGAGCAUCUCUACUUCCUGACUGCAGCAUGUUCUAAAACAAGCCUAGGCACCGGGUAUCUCAGCAUAUGUGUUGUUUGCGCAGAUUGUGUUGCUCGUUAGCAGGCUUGAGACUGAGAAAUGAAGUGUAAUGGAGACCACUUGGGUCCUGACCAUCUCAGCCUCUGGCUGUCUAAACCCUUGAGGUAAUCCAGUUUCCUGUUUCCAGCCUCAUUUGAGCAGCCUCAGCUGUUUUCCAGUGGUAAGGGUGCAAUACUGCUCUCUGCCUGGCCUAAGCAGUUAUAAAUCAGAGUACCAGAUUUCAUAUCUGAGUGAUGGUGUUUUGGAAGUUAUGUUGCCGCUGUCUGGGCUCCUCUUGAAAAGCAAGUGAUGGGUAGUGAUAGAGAACUGUUGUCUUUGACAUGGAGAUGCUGAGGAUCCUUGGCUGGGCACUGCACUCCUCAGCUUUCUAAUGGCAGUAUAACCCCACCUCUGCUGCCAGCAUCUUGAGGCCUUCUGGAAGGAGCUGGGAGAUGUCAUGCAACCGGCUGUGAGUUAGAGGAGAGUGGAGAGGUGCAGAGGGACAAACAGCAUCAGCUGGGAAGUGCUGGUGUGCCCUUGCUGUGUGCUCAUGCAGGGCUGCCUGCUUUCUGUGCUGAGCAGGGCUGAGAGACCCUGCCAGCACUGUGCUCCUGCUCCAGCACUCCUCCUGUAGAUUUUCAUCCGUUUCUUAAAGCCCACCCACAGGCUCAGCUGGGCUUUGGAAGCCAAAAUGUGAGCAAACGUCAAGCUUCCCGAUCCCUUCAAGGCAGAAUAAAUCCCGUGAAGUGGAAGCUUUUAUUUUUUCAGAGGAGUUGCCGGUACCCAUCAAACUCCUUGGCACCAGGUCACCUGGAAGGUGAAGGGGUGCAAUCACUGUACUUGCAUGCAACACCUCCAGUCUUUUGCCUUGCGAAUCAUGGAGGUGACGUUUCCCCCAGCCUACAUGUGGGCUGUCACAAUCUGUGUGAGGGUGGAAGAGCAUUGCUCAAACAAGCCUCAGUUCUCGCAAACCACUGGAAGCCGGCUGAGUAGCAUAGAGGAGGAAAGAAAGUAUUAAGAAGGUAUUUCUUUUUGUAGCAGUACGUGAGCAGAGAACUGCUGAAGACAUGGGACUGCAGGAGCAGCCUUGCUCUGACUCAAGCACAGGCACUGAGAGCAGAGCUGGUGGUGGUACUUUUGCUCUCAGCUUAAAAUACUGCCUCCUGGAUGCAGAAUGUUUGAAACCCCCAGGCUAAAUAAGAAAAGUGGUCAAUGAAUAAUGCAUAUAUGGCGGAGCAUUCCUUUAACCAGUUCUCACCUCACACUCCACUAGGCUGAGCUGGUCCCACCUCAUCUCAUGAGAUGGGCUUUUCCUCUGCCUGAGUCUUCUCCUAAGUUACAAGUGAUAGGACAAGAGGUAAUGGCCUCAAGCUGUGCUGGGGAGGUUUAGAUUGCAUAUUGGGAACAAUUUCUUCACAGAUAGGGUGAUCAGGCAUUGGAACAGCUGCCCAGGGAAGUGGUGGAGUUACUGUUCCUGGAAGUGUCCAAAGAAACGUGUAGAUGAGGCCCCCAGGGAUAUGGUUUAGUGAUGGACUUGGCAGUGCUGGGGUAAUGGUUGGACUUGAUGAUCUUAAAGGUCUUUCCCAGCCUAGCUGGUUCUAUGAUUCUUGUGCUUGCCAAGCCUUAGCCGAGUACCUGAGCUUCCACAUCUCCCCUGAGCGGUAGCUGUUGGGAGCAGGAGGUGUCUGGGCUGUUCUGGGCAUGGGAUGCUCCAGUGGCCCCUGGAGAUGGUGGCUUAGCAGACAGAGGUGGGGAAGAGAUAAAGACAGGCCAUGUUUUUCCCAGGCUGUUUACUUUCCAGCAUGCAGCCUUUUUAAGCUGCUCUUAUGUUUCCAAAUGCUGCAGCAUGCUUGAUUAGAGCCUGGUUAGCAUGAACUGCUAGAUGUUGGAAACUAAAAGGGUUUGCUUUUGUUUCAGUGAUGUCUGGAGAAUUUGGGAAGCUGUUCAGGACUUGCUCCCUUUCAAGAGCAAGGACGAGCCUUCCGUGGUUGCAUCCCCCUCCCUUGACUCCCCUCUCACAGAAAGUCACUGAGUUUUUAGCAUGUCCUUCAUGGAAAUAGCUCCUUAAUAUCAGUUGAGCUUUUUUUCAGAUCUCUCUCUCUCUUGGUGUUUCUCUGUUCCCUUAUCUUGUUUAUGAAACUGUAUUAUGUGAGACAAAACUCAUUUGUUGGUGAGGAAGGGACAUUGUACUCAGUGGGAUAUUUACUGUGUACCUGAGGUAUAAUCUAUCCUCUGCAGUGAUACGGACUCCAAAAUGAAUGGGUAUUUAUUUAUAAUAAUAUAGCAGACAGCCCAUAGGGAGGUGUCAGCUUGUUUGUAAUCAAUCUGUGCAAUGCUCUCGUUGCAGCACAAUAACACUUUGCAUUAAGUGA